rnacentral:rRNA from 1 species
CGGAAUUGCGGCAGCUACACAUGCAGUCGAACGGUAACAGGAAGAAGCUUGCUUCUUUGCUGACGAGUGGCGGACGGGUGAGUAAUGUCUGGGAAACUGCCUGAUGGAGGGGGAUAACUACUGGAAACGGUAGCUAAUACCGCAUAACGUCGCAAGACCAAAGAGGGGGACCUUCGGGCCUCUUGCCAUCGGAUGUGCCCAGAUGGGAUUAGCUUGUAGGUGGGGUAACGGCUCACCUAGGCGACGAUCCCUAGCUGGUCUGAGAGGAUGACCAGCCACACUGGAACUGAGACACGGUCCAGACUCCUACGGGAGGCAGCAGUGGGGAAUAUUGCACAAUGGGCGCAAGCCUGAUGCAGCCAUGCCGCGUGUAUGAAGAAGGCCUUCGGGUUGUAAAGUACUUUCAGCGGGGAGGAAGGGAGUAAAGUUAAUACCUUUGCUCAUUGACGUUACCCGCAGAAGAAGCACCGGCUAACUCCGUGCCAGCAGCCGCGGUAAUACGGAGGGUGCAAGCGUUAAUCGGAAUUACUGGGCGUAAAGCGCACGCAGGCGGUUUGUUAAGUCAGAUGUGAAAUCCCCGGGCUCAACCUGGGAACUGCAUCUGAUACUGGCAAGCUUGAGUCUCGUAGAGGGGGGUAGAAUUCCAGGUGUAGCGGUGAAAUGCGUAGAGAUCUGGAGGAAUACCGGUGGCGAAGGCGGCCCCCUGGACGAAGACUGACGCUCAGGUGCGAAAGCGUGGGGAGCAAACAGGAUUAGAUACCCUGGUAGUCCACGCCGUAAACGAUGUCGACUUUGGAGGUUGUGCCCUUUGAGGCGUGGUCUUCCGGAGCUAACGCGUUAAGUCGACCGCCUGGGGGAGUACGGCCCGCAAGGUUAAAACUCAAAUGAAAUUGACGGGGGGCCCGCACAAGCGGGGGAACCAUGGUGGUUUUAUUUCGAUGCCACGCGAAAAACCUUUACCUGGGUCUUGACAUUCCACAGAAAUUUUUCAAAAAAAUGAAAAUGGUGCCCUUCGGGAACCGGUGAAGACAUGUGCCUGCAUGGGCUGUCCGUCCGCCUCGUGGUUGUGGAAAAUGGUUGGGGUUAAAGUCCCCGCCAACGGAGGGGCCACCCCUUUAUUCCUUUUGUUUGCCAACGGGUCCCGGGCCGGGGAAACUCCAAAAGGAAAACUGCCCAGUUGA